AACGAACGCUGGCGGCAGGCUUAACACAUGCAAGUCGAGCGAAGACUUCGGUCUUAGCGGCAGACGGGUGAGUAACGCGUGGGAAUCUACCCAUCCCUACGGAACAACUCCGGGAAACUGGAGCUAAUACCGUAUACGCCCUUUUGGGGAAAGAUUUAUCGGGGAUGGAUGAGCCCGCGUUGGAUUAGCUAGUUGGUGGGGUAAGAGCCUACCAAGGCGACGAUCCAUAGCUGGUCUGAGAGGAUGAUCAGCCACAUUGGGACUGAGACACGGCCCAAACUCCUACGGGAGGCAGCAGUGGGGAAUAUUGGACAAUGGGCGCAAGCCUGAUCCAGCCAUGCCGCGUGAGUGAUGAAGGCCCUAGGGUUGUAAAGCUCUUUCACCGGAGAAGAUAAUGACGGUAUCCGGAGAAGAAGCCCCGGCUAACUUCGUGCCAGCCGCCGCCGUAACAC
rnacentral:rRNA from 1 species